rnacentral:rRNA from 1 species
GACGUAGGGCGCGAGCGUUGUCCGGAUUUAUUGGGCGUAAAGAGCUCGUAGGCGGCUUGUCGCGUCGACUGUGAAAACUCGGGGCUCAACUCCGAGCUUGCAGUCGAUACGGGCAGGCUAGAGUUCGGUAGGGGAGACUGGAAUUCCUGGUGUAGCGGUGAAAUGCGCAGAUAUCAGGAGGAACACCGGUGGCGAAGGCGGGUCGUCUGGGCCGGCACUGACUGACGUGAGGAGCGAAAGCGUGGGGAGCAAACAGG